UAGCAAUAUGAGCUAUGCAAUAAACAAAACAGUUCCAUAAUUCUUUUAUUUUACACGCUUUAUUAAAAACCAGCAGUCAAAUACUCCAUCAAUAUUUUUUCCUGUGAUGUGUGAGGAAGACUAUAAACAAUACUGCUUGUUAACCCUUUGACUUCAUAUGAAAAAAAAAUGUGUGCCUAUGUUUCCAUUAUAAAGAUGAUUUAUGAAAUCAGAAAUAAUUGACUGUUCCAGUUUGAAAUCAUCUGCGAAUGUUUCAAAAUUCAAAAUUGUACCAGUUCAUGUUAAAUGUUGAAUUCUGCUUAAGCCGGUGCUAGGGGGCGUGGACGGUAGUUUGCACUUGACAGUACCGUCCAUGAACUUGUGAGGCUCAAUCAAACUUAUUCUGUAACAUUUUCAAUUUUGCUGUGUUGGGCUUUUUUUAGGAGUUCUUAUAUUCUCUAUUUUAUAAUGGCAGUAUUCAUAUUAUAAGUUUUAUUUUUAGAAGUUUAGGUUAUAUGGAGUUAACAUGUAUUUUUUCAUGAUUUUAGGGAGAUGAGCAAUGGUAUUAUAGUUGGUAUUGAUCUAAGUGGAGAUCCACAUGUUGGUAAUACAGAUAUUUUCAUUCCAGCAUUUAAGGAGGCACAGAAACAUGGUUUAAAGUUAGCACUUCAUCUUGCUUAAGCACCAGAAGAAACUAUUACCUUGUUAAAAGAAAUUAUAUCAGAUAGAAUAGGACAUGGAACAUGUUUACAGCCUGAUGCUGGUGGGACGAAAGAUAUUGUAGAGUUUGUUGAAAGUCAU